UACAGCCACAUCAUGUUGAAACACUGGUUCUCAUACAAUUACUGAAGUUCAGCAUCAUCAAGCCUGGUCAGUACAUAGAUGGGUGACCACUUGGGAAUACCAGGUGCUGUA